rnacentral:sRNA from 1 species
GUCUCCGCUCCUGUGGGAGGCCCGGGGCUCGCAGCGCGUUCGGGUGCCAGGGACGAGCCGAGCUGCUGCCCUUGACUGGUGCACAGAGGACCACAGCUGCAAUGACAGUUUGGGCCUGCAAAAAGACGGCUGGAACAACGGGAAAUGGAAGCUUUCUGCAAAUGCAGCACCACUGGUAUCCAUGAGUUUAACCUGCCCAUCAAUUUUCCUAGACAAGAGACUAUUGAAAAGUCAGGGUGUUCAAAUGGCUUCAGAUCUUAUCAGGACAAUCUUGGUUGUUGCACUAAUUUCCAAACUUGUAAGUGCAAUGGAUCUGCAGUUCUACUUGGCAAGAUAACCAUUUUAAGUUGAAUGAGAAUGACAUCACACUCACACCUGCAAAAUCUAAAAUGUCUAAUAAAGUAGAUUCCUAUGUCUGAACUUCAAUUUUAGGGCACAGCUGUAGAUGCAGAACUGAUGCCAUCUGGUGCGAUUCUACAGAAUAAGAGAGAAAAUUUACCCGGAGUGUGCCAUGCACUGGCUUUUCUGGGAAUGGCAAGGUGCCAGGAUUUGUUUUUGGUUCGCUUGCAGGG